UACGUAGGCAGCGAGCGUUGUUCGGAGUUACUGGGCGUAAAGCGUGCGUAGGCGGUGGCCCAAGUCUGGUGUGAAAUCUCCCGGCUUAACCGGGAGGGUGCGCCGGAAACUGGGCUGCUCGAGUGCCGGAGAGGCAGGCGGAAUUCCUGGUGUAGCGGUGAAAUGCGUAGAUAUCAGGAGGAACACCCGUGGUGUAGACGGCCUGCUGGACGGCAACUGACGCUGAGGCACGAAAGCGUGGGGAGCAAACAGG
rnacentral:rRNA from 1 species